rnacentral:rRNA from 1 species
GACGUAGGGGGCGAGCGUUGUCCGGAUUUACUGGGCGUAAAGGGCGCGUAGGCGGCCAGCACAAGUCAGUUGUGAAAUCUCCGAGCUUAACUCGGAACGGUCAACUGAUACUGUGCGGCUAGAGUGCAGAAGGGGCAACUGGAAUUCUUGGUGUAGCGGUGAAAUGCGUAGAUAUCAAGAGGAACACCUGCGGCGAAGGCGGCUCACUGGACCGGAACUGACGCUGAGGCGCGAAAGCGUGGGGAGCAAACAGG